GAUAUUUAUUCAAUAACACCAAUACACAAAAUAUUCGAUUUCAAUCCAUUUCCUUUUUACCAACCCAAUUCACAACAACACUGUUCUGGCCCAAAUUCCAUUCUUUCCUUUCAACAGCCCAAAACAAUCCAUUCCCUCAACAGUCCCUUCACUUAAUUAACCUCUCCAAGCCUAACACUAAACCACCAAACCGGUCCAUUCCCAUUUAUUUUCUCUCCUCCAACAACAUACAGCGAACAAUCGACAAUAACCAUAUCAAUCACGAUAACAACAACCAUUUCCACGCAAUAAUCCAAACCAGCCUCAACCAACGUCGCCAUCGAACCCCACAACGGCGACCCAAUGCCGGUAUCUGAGACACGCGCGCAAACAGAAACACCGAUGACAACGACCAAAUCAAUGGCGACCUAGGUUCCAACCUGAAGUCAACCCAAAAAUCCCCAACGGUUCAUCCAAAUGUCUAUCUUUUUCCACCUUCAUGUGAUUAACAUGUUUUUAGUACGAAAUCAAUCUCAAAACUUCUAGAAUUUUGCCAGGUGGCAGCCAAAUCGAUUUUCAAAGAAUAUUGCUCAAGAAAUUCAUUGGGAAUUUAUUUGAUUUGGUCUCAAUUUCGAUUGGUGGAAAGGGAAUUUCAUUUUCUGCUCAAGAUUCCCAAAUUCAAAAUUCCUUCGAGAAUUCCAAAAUUGAGUAAAUGAACACGUUUAAAUUCGGUCCUCAUCCAAAAAUUUGAAAAGAUCUCACUUCAAAUAUUCCAAAAUUACCCCUGAAAAUCCCUAUCACACAUCAUUAGAGGGCAGAAGCUGAACCCCAACCAUUUCUAUAAAAAACACGCAAAAUUGAAGGAGGGGGGGAGGGGGUGGGGGAGGAGAAAAAAUUACUCUAAAGCAAAAGUGGUAUUUUUUAGUAAAAAUAUUUUUCAAAAACAUGGUUGACUACUCGGAGUCCUCGAAAUCAAAGCAAAGCUUCCGGUGGUGUCAUUUCGGUGUUAACUCGAGUCUCAUUUUGCUACUCCAAAACAGACAGGUAACACUUCGCCCAUUUUUGAUUUUGAUAUUUUCUUCUUUAUUGUCGUUCUAUAGUCGUAUAAUAGUGUUCUAGACUUUUGUAGGACGUUGUGGUUAUUUAUUGCAGAGGCUUUGAAAGUCGUAGGUCGUGAUGGCGACUGAUUGAUUUUUUUGCUCAUGUUUUCAUAAUCUCUAUUGAAAUCCCCAUGUACUACUGUUUCAAUCUUUUUUUUCCCAUCCAAGUUUUUUUCUUAUAUAAUAAAGCAUCUAUGGGUAUUGGAAUGAUAAUAUUUUUUUAUUUUUUUUCUUCAUAAGAGGUUGGUUGACUAUUUCUGCUCAUGUGUCGCUCAUGAAGUGUUAGCUUUUUUUUUAAUAUUGAAUAAAUUGGUUGAUCCUAUUUUGACCCAUUGUAACGGAAAGUUUUUAGCUUUGCCUUCGUUCUACCUAACUGCUUUCAUGUUCAUCUUUACGUGUUCAUAAGUCAUUUGUCCAAGUUCUGAGAUUCAUAGUGUUAAUUAACGGUAGAUGUGCCUGUUCAUGAUAUGGAUUCUAUUUUUCAAUAACCCAUAGUUUAAAGGAUGUUAUAUUUGAUCAAAUAAAGGAACAAAAAAUGAUUUUUCCUAAACUGUCUGAUUAACGUGAUUGUGGCUUAUCUCUAGUUCUGAGAAUUUUAUUUCACUGCCCAGAUUGAAGCUAAGAAGCUUGCAUCGAAUCGAAAUUUGUGGCUAGGUCUUUCCUUUUGGUUGAAUUGUUCCUUUUCUGUCUUUUGUUUUCUUCUUCUCGUUUUGUUAAAUAUCCGUGUGUUUCCUCUGCCUGUCUUGCUAUUUUUGAAAGUUGGUCAUUGGUUCGCUUAAAUUUUGAUUUGUAUUAUUUUAGCCUCUCAGUUUAGAGAUCCUACGACUUUCAAUUUAAUUCAUUGAUUAUGUUGCCUUACACGUUGUGUAGGAACUUGGGAUCUUAUUGCUAAAUGAACUUAUUUGAACAUGUCCGGACCAAGUGUGUAAUAUAGUUGUUCGUUAAAUUUUGUUUUGCCCUCAGUCACCUUAAAUUUUCAUUCUAGUUAUCCCACUUAGCUUUUUGGUUUGACCCACAUACUCAUUGUAUGCAUAAGAGCCUAUCCCAUUUGGUAUUAAUGACAAGGAUAGACCAACGAAGCUUUAAUUAUAGGUAAUUACAUACUCCCUUUAAAAUGUCGAUCAUAAUUUAGAUGCAUGAUUCUUCACUAAAAAUAUUGUCUUAAUUGUAGUUUAAAGAUUUUUUUUUUUUUAAGACUUAGCCUUCAUUUUCUUUGUUGCAUGAAUUAAUGUUUAUUUGUAGAAAGAUAUUUUUUUUGUAUUAAACUAGUUCUUGAUGCUUUCUUUCACUUUAAAGGAUGUCACGAAUAGAUAUUAAUUCCUUCUUCAUUUUUUUCUUUGCAUGAACUCGCUUGGGAGCCCAAUUGAACUCUUUUUUCCUUGCAUUACGCAACGGGCCAUUGAGGCCCAUCCUUUGGAAGAUUUUGAAAAUCGAUUACAUAGCGUAUGCAUACAAGGAGUCGAAAGAAGAAGAAUGGGCUAAAGUUCCGACUUUGAAGUGGGAAAGAGACUCGAAAGUCUCAUUUUUUCAUUUUAAUUCAUUUAUUGUUGUCUUUUUAUUAUUAUUUACUUAUUUCUUCAUUGCAUUAUUCAUUCAUUUGGGCCUCGACGCCAAAAUUGUAAAUUUAAGGAUAAAUUAUAUAUUAUAGACAAAAUACUAUAUUAAUUACAUGAUAUGGUUCAUGUUUUAAAAAAUUACAAUUCGUAGUCAUUUGGUAGUUAAAAGUUAGUUUUUUUUGUGGGCCCUCUAUACAAAUAUAUUAAGAUUUGUAUAUAUUAAUUUUCUC
rnacentral:lncRNA from 1 species